AUUGAACGCUGGCGGCAUGCCUUACACAUGCAAGUCGAACGGCAGCACGGGGCAACCUGGUGGCGAGUGGCGAACGGGUGAGUAAUGCAUCGGAACGUGCCAUUGAGUGGGGGAUAACGUAGCGAAAGUUGCGCUAAUACCGCAUAUUCUGUGAGCAGGAAAGCAGGGGACCGCAAGGCCUUGCGCUCUUUGAGCGGCCGAUGUCAGAUUAGCUAGUUGGUGAGGUAACGGCUUACCAAGGCGACGAUCUGUAGCGGGUCCGAGAGGAUGAUCCGCCACACUGGAACUGAGACACGGUCCAGACUCCUACGGGAGGCAGCAGUGGGGAAUUUUGGACAAUGGGCGCAAGCCUGAUCCAGCCAUGCCGCGUGAGUGAAGAAGGCC
rnacentral:rRNA from 1 species